rnacentral:rRNA from 1 species
UAUCUCGCAUGAUGGUAAUAGCUAAAGUGGAAACUUAGCUAGCUUAAAGUGCGUAGUCGAAACUGGAAGGUUGAUCGACCACAAUGGGCCUGAAGAAAGCCCAUGAUGAAUAUUACAGCAGUGAGGAAUAUUGGUCAAUAGCCUAACGGCUGAACCAGCAACUUGGGGGAAUGAAUAGCAAUAGCUAUUUGCACUAAUGUUAUUAGUGCAAAAUUAACGUAGUUAAAUAAAAUUCUGGAUAGAAUUAUGAUAAUGACAUUAUCUGUUCAUAAGUCUUGACCAAAUUACGUGCCAGCAGUCGCGGUAAUACGUAGAAGACAAGUGUUAUUCAUCUUUAAUAGGUUUAAAGCGUACUUAGACAGUAAAUAAAGCCUUAAAGGGACUAGUUUGCUAGAGUUUUAUAUGAAGGGGUUUUAAAGUACUACUGGUGUAGAGAUGAAAUUCAGUUAUACCUUAAAUGGCACAGGUUAAGGCGAAAGCAUCCUCUUAUGUAAAAACUGACGUUGAAGGACGAAGGCUUUGUGUCUCGAACAGGAUUAGAUACCCUAGUAGUCUAAGCAGAAAAUGAUGAAUGUCAUAGGUUAGAUUUAAUUUGAUCUGUAAAUGAAAGUGUAAGCAUUCCACCUCAAGAGUAAUUUGGCAACAUUGGAACUGAAAUCAUUAGACCGUUUCUGAAACCAGUAGUGAAGUAUGUUGUUUAAUUUGAUAAUCCGCAAAAAACCCC